UUACACAUGCAAGUCGAACGGCAGCACGGGAGCAAUCCUGGUGGCGAGUGGCGAACGGGUGAGUAAUGUAUCGGAACAUACCCAGUCGUGGGGGAUAACGCAGCGAAAGCUGUGCUAAUACCGCAUACGAUCUAUGGAUGAAAGCGGGGGAUCGCAAGACCUCGCGCGAUUGGAGUGGCCGAUAUCAGAUUAGCUAGUUGGUGGGGUAAAGGCUCACCAAGGCGACGAUCUGUAGCUGGUCUGAGAGGACGACCAGCCACACUGGAACUGAGACACGGUCCAGACUCCUACGGGAGGCAGCAGUGGGGAAUUUUGGACAAUGGGCGCAAGCCUGAUCCAGCAAUGCCGCGUGCAGGAUGAAGGCCUUCGGGUUGUAAACUGCUUUUGUACGGAGCGAAAAGGCUCUCUCUAAUACAGGGGGCUCAUGACGGUACCGUAAGAAUAAGCACCGGCUAACUACGUGCCAGCAGCCGCGGUAAUACGUAGGGUGCGAGCGUUAAUCGGAAUUACUGGGCGUAAAGCGUGCGCAGGCGGUCUUGUAAGACAGAUGUGAAAUCCCCGGGCUCAACCUGGGACCUGCAUUUGUGACUGCAAGGCUGGAGUACGGCAGAGGGGGAUGGAAUUCCGCGUGUAGCAGUGAAAUGCGUAGAUAUGCGGAGGAACACCGAUGGCGAAGGCAAUCCCCUGGGCCUGUACUGACGCUCAUGCACGAAAGCGUGGGGAGCAAACAGGAUUAGAUACCCUGGUAGUCCACGCCCUAAACGAUGUCAACUGGUUGUUGGGUCUUAACUGACUCAGUAACGAAGCUAACGCGUGAAGU
rnacentral:rRNA from 1 species